rnacentral:ncRNA from 5 species
UACGUAGGUCCCGAGCGUUGUCCGGAUUUAUUGGGCGUAAAGCGAGCGCAGGCGGUUUAAUAAGUCUGAAGUUAAAGGCAGUGGCUUAACCAUUGUUCGCUUUGGAAACUGUUAGACUUGAGUGCAGAAGGGGAGAGUGGAAUUCCAUGUGUAGCGGUGAAAUGCGUAGAUAUAUGGAGGAACACCGGUGGCGAAAGCGGCUCUCUGGUCUGUAACUGACGCUGAGGCUCGAAAGCGUGGGGAGCAAACAGG